GUGGACUGAACACAUAUGUUAAAAUUGGAAUUGUACAGUGAAAAUUAGCAUGUGUACUGCACAAUGAUAGCACAAAAAUUCAUGAAGCAUUCCAUAUUUUU
rnacentral:snRNA from 1 species